ACUCCUCAAAGCAUCGGGUGCAAACAACCUUCCACUGCGAGUGAAACCACUGGGUCCGGCAUUAUCCACCUUUGAAACGGUGGUUUCAUCCGCAGUCUGAUCAUCCAACUUUUCCCCAUUAUAGUAAACUUCUCCAUCAUAAUGCCAUGGUACAACAUCGUCAUUGUCAUAAGGAAUUGGCCCAGGUACCGUGAUAGUAACUGGAGCCGCAUCUGCCAGCGUUGACAAAUCAACCGGGUCGAAGUAAAUGGUUAUGGUGGAGACAUCCUCCCUCUCCGAAUCAAUCUUUUCAAAUCUGAGGCUUCCCUCAUCCAUCAGCCUCUGGACAACCUCCCUCAACAAUACACACCCAUUGGGAACAACGGUGCACGUAGCACAACAAUCAUCACAACCCGGGAAGACCCCAUUCUUCAACAAUUGUCUUUUGACCUCAACCAAUGGAGUCUUCAACUGGUCUACCUCUAUCAGCC
rnacentral:lncRNA from 1 species